GCUGCUGCAUAGGUGCUGCAUGGCUGUCGUCAGCUCGUGUCGUGAGAUGUUGGGUUAAGUCCCGCAACGAGCGCAACCCUUAUCCCUAGUUGCCAUCGGGUCAAGCCGGGCACUCUAGUGAAACUGCCUCGGAUAACGAGGAGGAAGGUGGGGAUGACGUCAAGUCCUCAUGGCCUUUAUGUCCAGGGCUACACACGUGCUACAAUGGUCGGUACAAACCGUCGCAAACCCGUGAGGGGGAGCUAAUCGGAAAAAGCCGGCCUCAGUUCGGAUUGGAGUCUGCAACUCGACUCCAUGAAGCUGGAAUCGCUAGUAAUCGCGGAUCAGAACGCCGCGGUGAAUACGCUCCCGGGCCUUGUACACACCGCCCGUCACAUCACGAAAGUGGGCCGUACUAGAAGCAGGUGUGCUAACCGCAAGGAGGCAGCCUUCCAAGGUACAGCUCAUGAUUGGGGUGAAGUCGUAACAA
rnacentral:rRNA from 1 species